GUGCCUGAUAAAAGGGUUAUUUUGAUAGAAUAAAUCAUGUAAAUUUUUACCUUCAUUACAUUUA
rnacentral:tRNA from 1 species